rnacentral:rRNA from 1 species
AUACGGAGGAUGCGAGCGUUAUCCGGAUUUAUUGGGUUUAAAGGGAGCGUAGGCGGGAUAUUAAGUCAGCUGUGAAAGUUUGGGGCUCAACCUUAAAAUUGCAGUUGAUACUGGUUUCCUUGAGUACGGUAUAGGUGGGCGGAAUUCGUGGUGUAGCGGUGAAAUGCUUAGAUAUCACGAAGAACUCCGAUCGCGAAGGCAGCUCACCGGGCCUGAACUGACACUGAUGCUCGAAAGUGCGGGUAUCAAACAUGAUUAGAUACCCUGGUAAUCCGCACAGUAAACGAUGAAUGCUCGCUGAUUGCGAUACACUGUAAGCGGCCAAGCGAAAGCGUUAAGUAUUCCCCCUGGGGAGUACGCCGGCAACGGUGAAACUCAAAGGAAUUGACGGGG